rnacentral:rRNA from 1 species
AGGUGCUGCAUGGCUGUNGUCAGCUCGUGUCGUGAGAUGUUGGGUUAAGUCCCGCAACGAGCGCAACCCUNGUCCUUAGUUGCCAUCAUUUAGUUGGGCACUUUAAGGAAACCGCCGGUGAUAAGCCGGAGGAAGGUGGGGAUGACGUCAAGUCCUCAUGGCCCUUACGCGCUGGGCUACACACGUGCUACAAUGGCAACUACAGUGGGCAGCAAACCUGCGAGGGUGAGCUAAUCUCCAAAAGUUGUCUCAGUUCGGAUUGUUCUCUGCAACUCGAGAGCAUGAAGGCGGAAUCGCUAGUAAUCGCGGAUCAGCAUGCCGCGGUGAAUACGUUCCCAGGCCUUGUACACACCGCCCGUCACAUCCAUGGGAGUUGGAUUCACCCGAAGGCGCUGCGCUAACCCGANAAUGGGAGGCANGCGCCNUUUNGUGGUUAGCGGCUCGNU